rnacentral:lncRNA from 1 species
GCGCAAUGCAACAGGAGACUACAAGUGUUCCCUGAUAGACAAAAAAAGCAUGAUUGCUUCAACAGCUAUCACAGUUCACUAUUUGGAUUUGUCCUUAAACCCAAGUGGAGAAGUGACUAGACAGAUUGGUGAUGCCCUACCCGUGUCAUGCACAAUAUCUGCUAGCAGGAAUGCAACUGUGGUAUGGAUGAAAGAUAACAUCAGGCUUCGAUCUAGCCCGUCAUUUUCUAGUCUUCAUUAUCAGGAUGCUGGAAACUAUGUCUGCGAAACUGCUCUGCAGGAGGUUGAAGGACUAAAGAAAAGAGAGUCAUUGACUCUCAUUGUAGAAGGCAAACCUCAAAUAAAAAUGACAAAGAAAACUGAUCCCAGUGGACUAUCUAAAACAAUAAUCUGCCAUGUGGAAGGUUUUCCAAAGCCAGCCAUUCAAUGGACAAUUACUGGCAGUGGAAGCGUCAUAAACCAAACAGAGGAAUCUCCUUAUAUUAAUGGCAGGUAUUAUAGUAAAAUUAUCAUUUCCCCUGAAGAGAAUGUUACAUUAACUUGCACAGCAGAAAACCAACUGGAGAGAACAGUAAACUCCUUGAAUGUCUCUGCUAGUGAAUGAAAACAGAGAAAAGGUGAAUGACCAGGCAAAACUAAUUGUGGGAAUCGUUGUUGGUCUCCUCCUUGCUGCCCUUGUUGCUGGUGUCGUCUACUGGCUGUACAUGAAGAAGUCAAAGACUGCAUCAAAACAUGUAAACAAGGACCUCGGUAAUAUGGAAGAAAACAAAAAGUUAGAAGAAAACAAUCACAAAACUGAAGCCUAAGAGAGAAACUGUCCUAGUUGUCCAGAGAUAAAAAUCAUAUAGACCAAUUGAAGCAUGAACGUGGAUUGUAUUUAAGACAUAAACAAAGACAUUGACAGCAAUUCAUGGUUCAAGUAUUAAGCAGUUCAUUCUACCAAGCUGUCACAGGUUUUCAGAGAAUUAUCUCAAGUAAAACAAAUGAAAUUUAAUUACAAACAAUAAGAACAAGUUUUGGCAGCCAUGAUAAUAGGUCAUAUGUUGUGUUUGGUUCAAUUUUUUUUCCGUAAAUGUCUGCACUGAGGAUUUCUUUUUGGUUUGCCUUUUAUGUAAAUUUUUUACGUAGCUAUUUUUAUACACUGUAAGCUUUGUUCUGGGAGUUGCUGUUAAUCUGAUGUAUAAUGUAAUGUUUUUAUUUCAAUUGUUUAUAUGGAUAAUCUGAGCAGGUACAUUUCUGAUUCUGAUUGCUAUCAGCAAUGCCCCAAACUUUCUCAUAAGCACCUAAAACCCAAAGGUGGCAGCUUGUGAAGAUUGGGGACACUCAUAUUGCCCUAAUUAAAAACUGUGAUUUUUAUCACAAGGGAGGGGAGGCCGAGAGUCAGACUGAUAGACACCAUAGGAGCCGACUCUUUGAUAUGCCACCAGCGAACUCUCAGAAAUAAAUCACAGAUGCAUAUAGACACACAUACAUAAUGGUACUCCCAAACUGACAAUUUUACCUAUUCUGAAAAAGACAUAAAACAGAAUUUGGUAGCACUUACCUCUACAGACACCUGCUAAUAAAUUAUUUUCUGUCAAAAGAAAAAACACAAGCAUGUGUGAGAGACAGUUUGGAAAAAUCAUGGUCAACAUUCCCAUUUUCAUAGAUCACAAUGUAAAUCACUAUAAUUACAAAUUGGUGUUAAAUCCUUUGGGUUAUCCACUGCCUUAAAAUUAUACCUAUUUCAUGUUUAAAAAGAUAUCAAUCAGAAUUGGAGUUUUUAACAGUGGUCAUUAUCAAAGCUGUGUUAUUUUCCACAGAAUAUAGAAUAUAUAUUUUUUUCGUGUGUGUUUUUGUUAACUACCCUACAGAUAUUGAAUGCACCUUGAGAUAAUUUAGUGUUUUUAACUGAUACAUAAUUUAUCAAGCAGUACAUGAAAGUGUAAUAAUAAAAUGUCUAUGUAUCUUUAGUUACAUUCAAAUUUGUAACUUUAUAAACAUGUUUUAUGCUUGAGGAAAUUUUUAAGGUGGUAGUAUAAAUGGAAACUUUUUGAAGUAGACCAGAUAUGGGCUACUUGUGACUAGACUUUUAAACUUUGCUCUUUCAAGCAGAAGCCUGGUUUCUGGGAGAACACUGCACAGCGAUUUCUUUCCCAGGAUUUACACAACUUUAAAGGGAAGAUAAAUGAACAUCAGAUUUCUAGGUAUAGAACUAUGUUAUUGAAAGGAAAAGGAAAACUGGUGUUUGUUUCUUAGACUCAUGAAAUAAAAAAUUAUGAAGGCAAUGAAAAAUAAAUUGAAAAUUAAAGUCAGAUGAGAAUAGGAAUAAUACUUUGCCACUUCUGCAUUAUUUAGAAACAUACGUUAUUGUACAUUUGUAAACCAUUUACUGUCUGGGCAAUAGUGACUCCGUUUAAUAAAAGCUUCCGUAGUGCAUUGGUAUGGAUUAAAUGCAUAAAAUAUUCUUAGACUCGAUGCUGUAUAAAAUAUUAUGGG